rnacentral:rRNA from 1 species
UAAUAUAUCGGAACAUGUCCUGUAGCGGGGGAUAACCUAUCGAAAGAUGGACUAAUACCGCAUACGCUCUAUGGAGGAAAGCGGGGGUCGCAAGACCUCGCACUAUAGGAGUGGCCGAUAUCGGAUUAGCUAGUUGGCGGGGUAAAGCCCACCAAGGCGACGAUCCGUAGCUGGUCUGAGAGGAUGAUCAGCCACAUUGGGACUGAGACACGGCCCAA